GAGAUCGGGAUAACACCUGGAAACAGAUGCUAAUACCGGAUAACAAUAGAUGAUGCCUAUCAACUGUUUAAAAGAUGGUUCUGCUAUCACUCUUGGAUGGACCUGCGGUGCAUUAGCUAGUUGGUAGGGUAACGGCCUACCAAGGCGAUGAUGCAUAGCCGAGUUGAGAGACUGAUCGGCCACAUUGGGACUGAGACACGGCCCAAACUCCUACGGGAGGCAGCAGAU
rnacentral:rRNA from 1 species